rnacentral:rRNA from 1 species
UACAGAGGGUGCAAGCGUUGUUCGGAAUUAUUGGGCGUAAAGAGCUCGUAGGCGGUGUGUCACGUCGGCCGUGAAAACCUGGGGCUUAACUCUGGGCGUGCGGUCGAUACGGGCAUCACUAGAGUUCGGCAGGGGAGACUGGAAUUCCUGGUGUAGCGGUGAAAUGCGCAGAUAUCCGGAAGAACACCGGUGGCGAAGGCGGCCUGACUGGGCAGUAGCUGGACACUGAGGCGCGACGAGCGUGGGGAGCAAACAGGGAU